CUUUUUUUUUCCCCUCUGAAUUUUGUGUUUUAUUUCUUUUUCAUACUUGCCCUUUAGGGGAGAUCUCCAGUGGAAUGCUGGGGAGAAGAAGUUGACCGGUGGAGCCAACUGGCAACCAAAAGUCACUCCGGCCACAUGGUCAGCAGGCGUUCCACCGCAAGGCACUGUUCCUCCAACCAGCUCAGUCCCUCCGGGUGCCGGCGCCCCGUCUGUUGGGCAACCUGGAGCAGGAUAUGGAAUGCCUCCUGCGGGGACAGGCAUGACCAUGAUGCCUCAGCAGCCAGUCAUGUUUGCACAGCCCAUGAUGAGGCCACCCUUUGGAGCUGCAGCUGUGCCCGGCACACAGCUUUCUCCAAGCCCUACACCUGCCACUCAGAGUCCCAAGAAAC
rnacentral:lncRNA from 1 species